rnacentral:lncRNA from 10 species
CUUACCACAGGCUACACAAUGUCCUGAGAGGAUUCAUUAAGAGAAAAAUGUCAAUCACAGCUUUAAUAACUUACUUUGGAUAAAACUAAUGAGAAAGCAAAUUGGAAGGAGAUGUAUGUACAACCUCAUUCAUAGAAAACUGGUAAAGAAUGGUAGUUUUCCCUGCAUUAUCCAGCCCAACAAUGAUAACUUUGUGCUCCUGGUGAUCGAACAGUCUCCACGUUCUGGGGGAAGAAAAUUCUCAUUCUCGGACAGCAGACCCCCGGCUCCAGACACCCGGGCCGCCUGGCCUCCCCUGGCUCAGGCGGACGGGGAAGAGAGAGAGGCGCUGGAGCCUCCAUCUCUGCUGCUGCUCCCGCGCUAGCCGCGGGCCCGCUUCCAGGGAACCGGCGGGAGGCCGAAGCCCAGGCCGCCCUGCCGCGCGAAAGGCCCCGACGCUGCCGCCGCGGCACUGGCCUGGCUCCCGGACAUCGCCGCCACCUUGUCUGCGACGAGCCUCGCGGGCCAGCGUCCUCCCCAAGCUCCUCUUGGGCGGCUGCACCAAAGUAAUUCUUUUUCCAACACACAAGAUCCCUUGCUUACCUAACAGGACCAAAUGAAGUGAAAGCAUGUUAAAAUUCUAAUCCACUGCUUAAACAUUACAAAUUUAAUUUAUGCAUACAAAAUUGAAUCCAUGCCACUCUAUCUAUACACAACAAUGCAAUAUUUUCAACAUACAGUUUUCUGAUAAAAUAAUGCCGUGUCCCACAUAAUUAAAAAACUAUCAAGAUUUCUCUUUUCAUCAAAUAAUUUGGCCUAUUAAAAUAACACAACAUAACAGACCAUGUGAUAGUUUCCCAACAUCUUCCUAUCUAUAAAGUUUGUAUGAGAUUACAUCUCACAAGAAGAAAAGUAAAUAUAAGUAAAAUAGAAGAGAUGAUGAUUUAAAAAUCAAAACAGAUCAUAUAAGGGCUUGUGUAAAACUUACAAAUGCUUCAACAAAGAAUUAUACUUUGAGAAUUUUAAACUGUUCACAUGAUAUGCUUUGGAAACAGCAUAUACUGUUAGAAAUGUGACUGAAUAAAAUGAUCGAGUAAUAUAAAUGAAAAAUGGCCUCAAAUCGGUGGUAGUAAGUAACCAGUGUGGAAAACUGGAUGGAGAAUUAACUGCAAUUCAAUUAUCUAUAUUAAAAUGACUCCUAGAUUUCUCAAAGAACUCAAAGUAGAACUACCAUUCGAUCCAACAAUCACACUACUGGGUAUCUACCCAGAGGAAAAGAGGUCAUUACAUGGAAGACAGAUGCAUAUGCAUGUUUUCAUAGUAGCACAAUUCGCAAUUGCAAAAAUAGGAAGCCCAUCAACCAUACCCAUCAACUAAAUGCCCAUCAGCCAACGAAUGGAUGAAGAAAAUAUGGUAUAUAUACACAGUGGUAUACUACUCAGCCAUAAAAUGGGAUGAAAUAAUGGCCUUUGCAGCAACCUGGAGGCAGCCAGAGGCCAUUAUUCUAAGUAACUCAGGAGUGGAAAACCAAGUAUCAUAUGUUCUCACUUGUAAGUGGAAGCUAAGCUAUGAGGAUGCAAAUGCAUUUAAGAAUGAUAUAAUGGACUUUGGGGACUCGGAGAGAAAGGUAGGAGGGGGUGAGGAAUAAAAGAGUACAUAUUGGGUGCAAUGUACACCACUCAGGUACGGGUGCACCAAAAUUUCAGAAAUCACCACUACAGAACUUACUCGUGUAAGCAAAAAACACCUGUAUCCCAAAACGACUGAAAAAUAAAAGACUUCUACAUGCAAUUGGAAGCUAUGCAACAUACAAAGAGAAAUUGACCAUACGUAGCUGAAAAAAUAAAAAAUGAUUUUUCAAUGCAAAAUGAAUGUUGUAAAUAAGGCAUUAGUUUUGUCAUGGGAGAUAUGAGUGUGAUUCUAUUUACAUUGUAUUGCUACUGUGAAACGGACACAGAUAUUGUACUGUUUGAAUGAAUAUGUCAUUUUUUUUCUUGCCUAUUUCAAACAGAUCUUAGACAAGGAAAAGAUACUCUUGUAUAACACCAAUUUUGUUUCCACACAUACUCCCUUUUGUAGUAAAGGAGACUGAAAAUAGAGUUCACAAAAUAUAAUAUAAACCGUAUAAUAAAUAUGUCACGGUACAUUUGGAAUUACAGUAAUCAGAAACUUCAAGUUGAAAGAGCAAUGAGAUGAUUUUAUUGCCUGUAAUAUAGAUAGGAAUUAAUAAAAUUUAUAGUAUUUAAUUGUAGUGUGACGUGUGGGAAAAUUGAUACUGGUACUAUUACAUAAAAUUAAUGAAAACGCGAUUUUUACCAGCAUAUUUGAGGGUGAAAAGUAAUUGUCAUAUUUUAACAUGUUCAUUGAUUUUUGGAUCGGCAAUUCCAAAUCUGAGAAGCUGUCAGAAGUAUGCUUAAUUGCCCAUAGUGAUAUAUGCUCAGAGGCAUUCAUCAUAACAUUAUUUAUGGUGGGUAAAGAUUAGAAAAACCCAGGCUCUCUCUUGGUAGUGGUGAAUGUUAUUAAAAUACAAACCAAC